GACGAACGCUGGCGGCGUGCUUAACACAUGCAAGUCGAACGGAAAGGCCCUGCUUUUGUGGGGUGCUCGAGUGGCGAACGGGUGAGUAACACGUGAGUAACCUGCCCUUGACUUUGGGAUAACUUCAGGAAACUGGGGCUAAUACCGGAUAGGAGCUCCUGCUGCAUGGUGGGGGUUGGAAAGUUUCGGCGGUGGGGGAUGGACGCGCGGCUUAUCAGCUUGUUGGUGGGGGAGUGGCUUACCAAGGCUUUGACGGGUAGCCGGCCUGAGAGGGUGACCGGCCACAUUGGGACUGAGAUACGGCCCAGACUCCUACGGGAGGCAGCAGUGGGGAAUAUUGCACAAUGGGCGGAAGCCUGAUGCAGCAACGCCGCGUGCGGGAUGACGGCCUUCGGGUUGUAAACCGCUUUCGCCUGUGACGAAGCGUGAGUGACGGUAAUGGGUAAAGAAGCACCGGCUAACUACGUG
rnacentral:rRNA from 1 species